rnacentral:rRNA from 1 species
AACGAACGCUGGCGGCAGGCCUAACACAUGCAAGUCGAGCGGACCUUUCGGGGUCAGCGGCGGACGGGUGAGUAACGCGUGGGAAUAUGCCCUUCUCUACGGAAUAGUCCUGGGAAACUGGGGGUAAUACCGUAUACGCCCUUUGGGGGAAAGAUUUAUCGGGGAAGGAUUAGCCCGCGUUGGAUUAGGUAUUUGGUUGGGUAAUGGCCUACCAAGCCGACGAUCCAUAGCUGGUUUGAGAGGAUGAUAAGCCACACUGGGACUGAGACACGGCCCAGACUACUACGGGAGGGAGCAGUGGGGAAUCUUAGAAAAUGGGGGCAAACAUGAAAGAGCCAUGCCGCGUGAGUGAUGAAGGCCUUAGGGUUGUAAAGCUCUAUCAGCUGGGAAGAUAAUGACGGUACCAGCAGAAGAAGCCCCGGCUAACUACGUG